rnacentral:tRNA from 1 species
GUCGGUGGUGGCGGAGGAGACGCCGUGGCCCGACCGCGGCCACGCGCCCCGCGCGGGCGUGUCGGGGUUCGGGUUCGGCGGCACCAACGC